rnacentral:lncRNA from 1 species
UUUUUUUUUUUUUAAGUGUGUUAAAGCAUUUCAACAAAUACACAUGACCUAACCAUCUGUCUAUGUCAAAAUAAGUUAAUGCUCCAUACCAUGCUUCAACUUCUCAAUCUCCCCCAAAUGGGCCACAGUCAUCAAAGCCAAGAACAGAGAAAGUUCUUAUCUUCAUCGCUCUCUCCAUCACAUCAUGCAGGGGUCCCAACUUGCAAAGUGCUCACAUGAACUCUAUGAAUGAUGUCACGGAAGCUGGCCACACCAGUAUUUUUUGACUUAACUGAGCAAACUGCUUUUUCCCUUUCAUUGCAGGUGCCCAAUGGCAGACAAGGAAACUCACUUUUUCGGUGAUUAAGCAAAACCUCUCGAAUUCCUUACGAUACAUUUGCAAGCCUGUUCCCCUGCUCAUAGUCUCAGGCAGGCUGUAUUCUUACGUUAGAUGGGCUAAUGGGCUCAUGUCUUUCACACAUCAGGACACCAAGAUCCUUAGAGAAACUUCAUUGAACAAGGAUCACACAGGGUACAACCAUAUUACAUCCCACGAUAGGGCCUCUAGCAGUAUCUCUACUGUGAGCCCUCUCAAAGACUCACCUUCUACUCUUUUACAAGAGAAGAUUCUAGACCAACCUCAUUGAAAAAGCCCUUAGUGUCAUCCAGAACUGAAUCUGGAGCCCCAGUACUCCCUGAAUGCUCCCAAGACGGCAUCCCCAAAGUGCUUAUGUGCACCCUUGGGUAAGAUCCUGCUGAGCUGCUGGCUUCUUCCUGUCUGCAGAGGCUUCCCUUAAGAGUCUACCCCACUAGUAGGUACAGGACAUCCAAUCAGAGAGCAGGCCCCCUGAGGCACGGAGCAUGUGGCUUCUCCAUCUACAACCUAUAUUAAGAAAUUGGAUUGACAAGAGAAAAAUAGGUCUUUCUUCAUAGCAUGGCUUUCUCUCUCCUCCAUUCACAGCCUAACAUGGCCCAGAAGAUGUUUUUUAAAAAAUCAUCUGCUACCUUAAGAUAAAGAACAGCACUAGAGGAGGAGGAAUCCACCAUGCUUUUCAAAUUGGAAAAUGCUCAGCUAUCACCUGCAAAGUGCUUGUUUAAAAUGAUUUCAAAAGUCUGCCCCCCGUCGUUUGAUUCAGCAGGUCUAUAGGUAAAGCCCGGGCUAACGCUUUCAUCAAGUGCCCCAAGUGGCUGGAAGCCAGGGGUCCCAGGACCACCCCUCGAAAACCCCAGCCAGAGGGGAGAGUACAGAGAAUGAGAGAGACAGAGCUGAAUCAGGCCUCUGGAAUUCUGAAGUGGUUUUAGUUGUUUAUAGUCUAUUCCACGGCUCCCAUUGUAAAGCCUGUUCAGUUAAAAAUUCACCAAACACACCACAGACAAGGAGUCUGACAUAAAAGCCCUGAUAACACUAAUGGUGGUAAAUGGGGUUUCUUUAAAUAGGACGCCUUGUUUGUGCCUAGUUGCCUUCUUUUAAGAUUUAUCGAGGUCCAGCCACUUUGCUUUCUCUGCUUUGGAGAAGAAGGCUCAUCUUUGGUUAAUUUCAUUGAGAAUGACAUUCCCCAGUGCCAUCAAGACUUGCCCAGUUCAUCUUUAUUUUUGUUUUUACUCUUAUAAGGUUUGCUACAAUUACAAGUAUCAUAUUCAUUUUUUUAAGGUGAACCUUAUAUAAACAUGAGGUAGAAAAGUAUUAAUGAGGCACUGCUAAGAUGGAAUCAAAGCCCCCAAAAUAUGUAAAACAUACACACACACACACACACACACACACACACACACACACUAAAGGGAGGACCUCAACAGGUUAUAAAAAGUAACUUGAGGAGUUCCCGUCGUGCCCUUUUUAAUAAUGCAUUUUCGCAUGGAUCCCAGACUAUCACGUCUUCAACGGCAUUUUUUAGGGAGUGAUUUUACUUUCUAAAACAUCUCUGUCUAGUAGUUCCACGGUAAAAGCAAAUACACGCAGGAGGAUAGAAAAAAACGCUGUGGAGGAAGGCAGGAGGGGAAGAGGAGGAGAGGGGAGAAAUGAUGCCUACUCUAUGGUGAACCCUAGACACUUUUUCACUUAUUUCUCAAGUUUUGCCCUGAAAAAUAUCUCCUCACACAUGAAGUGGAACAAAAAAAUAGCGCGUUCAGGUUUAAACGAGGCAGAGGGACAGGAUGAGAGCGGGUCCAAGAGUUCAGAGGCAGAGAAGGAAGGAGGGAGGGGGCCAAGCCGACAAGGCACCCUCCACUUCUUCUCUUUGGUUCCUGGGCCUCCCCUCCAGGCCAAAGCUGUGGGAGGCCUCCAGAGCCAGAAAAGCUUACGACGACCCUCCCUCCGCCCCAUUCAGUUCUGCGCCCAAGGACCCCACCCCUCCCCAGCCCGGCCCAGCCCCACUGGGCCAGGCCCGGCAGCAGCAGCAGCUCCAGGCACCCGAAGGUCAUUGCUCGGUUUGGCACCAAACGUUCCCUCAGUGAAAACAGGCCUCCAAAGAAGAAUGAAGCA